rnacentral:rRNA from 1 species
UACGUAGGGUGCAAGCGUUGUCCGGAAUUAUUGGGCGUAAAGAGCUCGUAGGCGGUCUGUCGCGUCUGCUGUGAAAACUCGGGGCUUAACCCCGGGCCUGCAGUGGGUACGGGCAGACUAGAGUGCGGUAGGGGAGAUCGGAAUUCCUGGUGUAGCGGUGAAAUGCGCAGAUAUCGGGAGGAACACCAGUGGCGAAGGCGGCUUUCUGGCCCGUUCUUGACGCUGAGGCGCGAAAGCUAGGGUAGCAAACGGG